rnacentral:ncRNA from 1 species
ACGCCGUCCCGAGCGGCGUUCGCGGCCUCGAACGGGCCAAGGCGGGGGUGGUGCCGUGUCGGCGCAGCACCACCCCCUAC